AGCUUUGUGCAGUGACAGUAUCGUAGCCAAUGAGGUUUAUCCAAGGCGCGAUUAUUGCUAAUUGAAACUUUUCCCAAUACCCUGCCGUGAUGACUUGAAAUAUAGUCAGCGUUGGCAAUUUUUGGCAGUCUCCACGGAGA
rnacentral:snRNA from 1 species